rnacentral:lncRNA from 1 species
GGGGGGGGGGGGGGGGGGGGGGGGGGGGGGGGGGGGGGGGGGGGGGGGGGGGGGGGGGGGGGGGGGGGGGGCUUGUGGGAUGGCUGGGGGUGGCUGUAGGGUGGCUGUGGGGUGGCUGUAGGGUGGCUGGGUGUGUUUGUGGGAUGGCUGGGGGUGGAUGUAGGGUGACUGGGGGUGGCUGUAGGGUGGCUGGGGGUGGCUGUGGGGUGUGUCCCACCCCUCCACCUCCCUGGCAGUGCUGCCAGAGGAGCAGAGGGCCAAGCUGGAGCGGUGCCUCUGCAGAGCUCCCAGCUCAGCAUCAAUGAUUGAUGAUUUCCUGAAGGGUAUUAAUCAAGGCCUCCUGCAUCUUUCAUGGCCAUGGUGAGGGAGAGCUCGGCUCUGCUGCCCAGCAGGACCUGCUAUCCCCCAGAGGGCCCAGCCAAAGGAACCCCGAGCUCCUUACUGGCCACAGAAGCUGGGGUGUCUCCCAGAAAAGCUUUCCUGGGUGUCCAGGGUCACCUGCCCCCCUGCAGUGGCCCUGGCUCAGGAUUAGGCUCCCACACACCGGGAGGUUCACCCGAGGGUCACUAUCAGGACACAUCCGAGGGGAAAUUUGGGAUUUCCCCCUCAGCCAGGUUUCCUCCUGGCCCCUUCCCACAUCCCAUCUCUGCUACCGCCCCCCCAUCCCCUGCCCAGCUUCCCGCCCCAACUCCACAGGGUCCCACACCCCAGGCAAGCUCGGGUUCUGAUGGACACCUGGGACACUGGAUCUGCUGGGAUUACUGGGAUCUCUGCUGGGAUUAAUGGGACACUGGAUCUGCUGGGAUUACUGGCAUCUCAAAUGGGAUUACUGGGAUUAAUGGGACACUGGAUUUUGCUGGGACACCUGGGACACUGGAUUCUGCUAGGGUUACUGGGACUACUGGGACACUGGAUUCCUCUGGGAUUGCUGAGACACUGGAUUCUGCUGGGAUUACUGGGACACUGGAUUCCUCUGGGAUUGCUGGGACACUGAUUGUGCUGGGAUUACUGGGAUUACUGGGACACUGGAUUUUGCUGGGAGAUCUCUGCUGGGAUUACUGGGAUCACUGCUGGGAUUACUGGGACACUGGAUCUGCUGGGAUUACUGGGAUCUCUGCUGGGAUUACUGGGAUCUCUGCUGGGAUUACUGGGAUCUCUGCUGGGAUUACUGGGAUCUCUGCUGGGAUUACUGGGAUCUCUGAUGGGAUUAAUGGGACACUGGAUCUGCUGGGAUUACUGGCAUCUCAAAUGGGAUUACUGGGAUUAAUGGGACACUGGAUUUUGCUGGGACACCUGGGACACUGGAUUCUGCUAGGGUUACUGGGACUACUGGGACACUGGAUUCCUCUGGGAUUGCUGAGACACUGGAUUCUGCUGGGAUUACUGGGACACUGGGACUCAACUGGAUCUGCUGGGAUUACUGUGACACUGGAUUUUGCUGGGAUUUUUGGGACACUGGGACUCUGCUGGAAUUACUGGGACUCUGGAUUCUGCUGGGAUUACUGGGACACUGGAUUUUGCUGGGAUUGCUGGGACACUGGGACUCUGCUGGGAUUACUGGGACUCUGGAUUCUACUAGGGUUACUGGGAUACCGGGACACUGGAUUCCUCUGGGAUUGCUGGGACACUGGGACUCAACUGAGAUUAAUGGGACACUGAAUUUUGCUGGGACACCUGGGACAUUGGAUUCCUCUGGGAUUGCUGGGACACUGGAUCUGCUGGGAUUGCUGGGACACUGGAUCUGCUGGGAUUGCUGGUGUUUAUCCCUGGAAUGCUCCAGUGCUCCUGUUGACAAAGGGCUGAGGGGCAUGUGGGAAUACGACAGGGUUACCCCUCUCUCCUUCAUAAUGUGGUUGGGGCGCAGAUCUCCCCUCUCCCUGCUGCUGGAGGGGACAAAAUCCAUCAGAAAAGGAAAGAGCAGGUUGCAGCUGUGCCCUUCCUGGGACACUAGAUUCCUCUGGGAUUGCUGGGACACUGGGACUCAACUGAGAUUAAUGGGACAUUGAAUUUUGCUGGGACACCUGGGACAUUGGAUUCCUCUGGGAUUGCUGGGACACUGGAUCUGCUGGGAUUGCUGGGACACUGGAUCUGCUGGGAUUGCUGGGACACUGGAUCUGCUGGGAUUGCUGGGACACUGGAUCUGCUGGGAUU